CAUAUCUGUCUGUAAAUAAUUCUAAUUCUAUUCCAGUUGUUUUUAGCAUAGCAUCCGAAGAUAACCCCGGAACAGUCUAAUAAUGGGCUGGGUCGAAGGAAUAAAUAUUUUUGCAAAUCAAACGAAAAUGUACGAAAGUAUCUGCAAGCAAAAGACUGCUGAAAAAUUUUUUCCUUGGUGGAAGAACAGUUUCGUGCAAACAUUAAAUUAAGUAAAGUGUUUAUAUGGGAAAACUCCCUUACUAUGUUAUAUUAAAGUGUGUUUCGUCCGGGAAAAACAUUUGUGAAAUUAUUAUAUACUAAGUUAGAGCUAAUACAAUCUAAACUUAUUGCCAUAAAUCGAAAUGAGUCUAAAAAAUGUAUAUCCAAAUUUGUAUUAUGCUCUGUAUAUAUGUGUAUUGAGAGGUGUUCAGACAAGAGAGGUACUUAGCCGUCGCUACUUUAAUGAAGUUGGUUCUGACUCCGGAACCAGAACAAAAUUUUUCACCACUCACACUCACACUCGCACUAAAGCAUUGUAACAUUGGAUCAUAAAAUACAGACGACAAAUAACCUAAAGAGG